CCCAUUCUCACUCCAAAGGCGUCAAAAACCGAAGCAUGGUCAAGCGCCCCUAGCGUCACUUUUAUGACGCCAAAUGUGCCUCUCGGCGUCGACUAUCGAAGCACUACGACCUUCAUUGCUUUCAGUGGGAAACUUUCGGCGUCAGAAUUCGACACGAGGACAUGAGAUGUUUAUCGCUAUGAAAUCACGUUCAAGAAGUCUCAUUCAGCACACAUCGCGCGAUACUUGCUAUCAGUUCCACAGUUUGGCUGAAAAGACGUAAAGGCAGUCAGCCCAGUGGUGUUUCUGGAGAGGGAUUCCUUCAGAAAUGGAGAAGACAGAAAGCUGCGGAGGCAGAUAUUUGCAGCAGUCUAAAAUAUCGAGCUCAACAGCUAUUUUAAGAGCCAACCCUCACAAACCUUCCUAAAACCUAAAAGAGCUAUUACUGAGUCUCAGCGAAUCUUGCCAUGAUCAGCUCUUCCCAGAAGAGAAGGAAGACCAAGGAAAUGAUUUGCUCAGGAUGAGGAAUGAAGACGGCCAUCUUGAGCUCAAACAAACAGAAGUCCUCUGAUGAUCUCAUCAGCCAAAUGAGAGGUUUUGACCAAGUGAUGCUCUUGAAAGGAGUGGAUGUGGUAAAUUGUCUUCAGAGAAAAAGCUUCUCAAAAGGUCUUAAAACAGCUUGAAGAAUGGUCUGGGAUGUUAGGACUGAGAGAUCCUCUGGCUGAGAACAAGCUACACCACAUCAGUGCUGGAUAUCAACCACAAACAGUUUCCAGACACGAGAGAAGAAGAAC